CUAUAGUUAUUUGGUCUGGCUGUGAGCUUGGGAGGAUGUGAAAGUCUUGCUGAACUUCCGGCUAUCAUGACCCAUGUAUCAGUGCCUAAGAAGGACAGAGAUGUCUUUGGAAUUAGUGACACAAUGAUUCGACUCUCUGUGGGCUUAGAGGAUGAAAAAGAUCUCCUGGAAGAUCUAGAUCAAGCAUUGAAGGCAGCACACCCUCUGAGUGGAAGUUGCAACUAGUAUUUCAGAACUGCCUUUACAAGCUGCUUCCUGAGGAGAUCAAAUCUUCUGAAUAAUUUAAUGGACAAUUAAUGAGCUUUCACAAAAUUUUCAAGUGAAAAAUGUUAAUUUUCACUUGAAAGGUAAAUGUCAGUACCUUUCAGAACUGUAACUUUCUAUGGGUCAUCCUUGUUAAAAAAUAGUUUUCUGUAUAUCGUAUUAUAAUUGACAGUUCAAUUCUAUUACUAUCUUUUUUUGUAAUAGUAGUAUAUUUAAUGUGUAUAUAAAUGUUACAAAUUAACUUUUCUACAUCAAACAAAGUAACAUUUUACAUCAAGAGAAAAAGAGGACAGGAAGGGGUUUGAUGAACAAGUCCAAGGAAAGUGAUGUGGAUAAGAACAAUGUUUUCAGCAGAUCCAAUCAGUGUUCAUUCUAUUAGUGUCUUCCAAGGGGGAUUUCCUCAUUUGGGGCAGAGCCUUUGGUGGCAAGUGCUGGUUGCUUAUCAUUGUAAUCAGCUGCAUGAACAAACACAAAAUGACAUACCCUAUAUAUAUUUUGCUUGUACUUUUCUUAUGCUUUGGAGUCCCAAGCCAGUAGAACUCAAUGACCAGAACCUUAUAAUCUUUCUGUUGAACAAAGCAUUUUACCUUUUGAGUUGUCUCCCAGAAACAGCAGACUGAUUGCAAGAUAACAACACCAAGACUCGUCAUGCGUCACCAAUCUGUGAAUUCUGAAUUAGACCUCCUGCACACAUUGCUUUCAACCCCACCUGCCCCAAUAGAUGUAGCCACCUUACUGAAGCCCUUAUUAAAAUCUCUGCCCUUGGUUGGUCAGAGAAACAGAUUUAAGGCAGUUCUCUCUUCUCUUAGGUGAUGUCACCUGUAACAAUUUACCUUUCUUCCUUGGCCAUCCUCUUUGUCUCAGUAAUUGGCUUUCUGUGAGGUGAGCAAUCGGACCUGGGCCAGAACCUCUUUGUUGAUUCUGUUAAUAUCUUUGUGUUGAAUUUGCUAUACAUUGCCUCUGAAGGUGGUGAGACCUAUGUUACUUUGUGGGAUGGAUCUGUUAGGUCCAGAGCUGAGAGGGAGACACACGAAACCUCAUGCAUAGCAAAAUGCUGUUUAUUUUGGGCAUCUGGCUGCAGAUGGGGGGAGGCCUCAAGACACCCCAAGGAAGGGGAAAGCCUUGGGUUUUAUAGGAGGUUUUUCCAGGGGGAGUGAGUAAGUAGGCCAGAACAGCUGCUGUAAUAAAUUCUUUUCAAACAACCAAUUUCUGGGACCCCUGCAUUAGUCUCAUCCUGCAGAGAUGGGGGGUAGCUUUGUCUUUAUCAGGGGAGAUAUAAAUGCUGGUAUGGCUGCAACUGUCUGUGGUUGGAGUUAGAUUUACAACCUCCAGACUCCCUAGACUCCUGUGGCUAUUGUUUCACAGGCUUUAUGAUCAGUAUCUAAGUUUUCCAUUAACUGCAUUCCAUCCUAUGCAUACUUUCUGGGUUUCCACCCUAAAUAAACCUAAAAGAAUCACGUUCUUUUUUUCAUAGUCUAAGACUUAUUUUCAUCAUGUUUAUAAUAUAAUGGUAAUUCAUUUUGGAUGUUUUGUGAAUAAUUUAAAUUAUUAAAUGAACAUUCUUUAACAAGUGUGAUUUUUGCAUAUUGUUGAAAAGAUCUUUGAAAGCAAUGAAAGCAGUGGUUUACACUUAAUUAUUAUAAGCUAAAAGUUUCAAGUGUGAAAUUAUACUGAUUUAAGUUUGUACUUAAUAUAUUUUAAAAAAUAAAUCUAAUUAUCAAAUGCACCCCAUUGUGACAUUCCUAUACAUUAUGUGACAUUAACCUAUAUUCCUGCAUCCUUUUAAUUCCCAACAUUGCUCUUAGAGAUUUCAGCCUCUUAUGUUAAGUUUUAUAAAUUCAAUUAAAUAACUAUUAUUCCAAAAUCUUAGUGUUUGCAGAUUGGUUAUAAAUUCUAUACAUGGCACAUUAACGGUCACCUUUAUACAGAGAAAUAUUACUCUUUGUAUUUUUAUCUGAAAUAGUAAAUUUGUUG